UACGUAGGGUCCGAGCGUUGUCCGGAAUUACUGGGCGUAAAGCGUGCGCAGGCGGUUUUGUAAGUCUGUCGUGAAAUCCCCGGGCUUAACCUGGGAAUGGCGAUGGAGACUGCAAGGCUGGAGUUUGGCAGAGGAGACUGGAAUUCCUGGUGUAGCAGUGAAAUGCGUAGAUAUCAGGAGGAAUACCGAUGGCGAAGGCAGGUCUCUGGGCUAGAACUGACGCUCAUGCACGAAAGCGUGGGGAGCAAACAGG
rnacentral:rRNA from 1 species